GCAUAUGAAAGUUCCCAGGCUAGGGUUGAAUUGGAGCUACAGAUGCUGGCCUAUGCCACAGGCAUAGCAACACCAGAUCCUUAACCCACUGAGUGGGUCCCGCAUCCUCAUGGAUACUAGUCGGGUUUGUUUCUUCUGAGCCACAAUGGGAAGACAAUCAGUAGACUUACUCUUGAUGUAAGAUGUACUUACCCACAUCUUCAUGGAUACCAGUCGGGUUUGUUUCUUCUGAGCCACAGUGGGAAGACAAUCAGUAGACUUACUUUUGAUGUAAGAUGUACUUUGUACAGUGGAUGCUUUGCUGUUUUAAUCAUUUUUGGUUCAAAUCCAAGCCAACCCACAGCCCUACAAAACCCAUCCUCUGUCUCCUGACUUGACCCCUGCUGUCCAUUUUCCCACAUCCUUAAAAAAGUGCAACGUGUUCUGCUGUCUUCUUUUCUCUUCACUUCUUGGAUCUCAGCCAAAUCAACCAACUAUGUCCCAUGUAGCAAUGCUUACAGGGUAGCCUAGUGUUCCUGAGGAUAGGAUGGAGAGAAUGUGACUGUCCAUUGCUAGGACCAUGAAGUGUCCUUCUGCUCAAGGUAUGCUUGGUGGGAUGAGGAGACUCUACAGGAGUAUGUCUGGAUCCUGAAAAAUGUAGGAAGGCAAAUGUAGAGCCUUGAGGUGGGAUGAUCUGGGCACUGGGGGUGUCAUAUUCGUUCCAUACCCACCCCCUUAACUUCCAGAGGAAAAAACCAUUUGUAACUGUGAGAAACAUGACAGCCUCAUCCAAAGUCCAUGCAAGUAUUUGUUCAUUCCAUAAAUAUUUGUUGAGAGCUUACUAAAGCAGUAAAGUUAAUCACACAUAGUGUGUGCUGCCAUCGUGCCAGGUGGCAUGUGGAAAGCUUCACAUCUAUCAUUGUAUUUAACCCUUACAAUACACCAUGAAGUGCAUUGCUAUUUUGCAGGUGAGGAAAUUGAGGUGCAGAGAGGAAGAGGAAGAUGUCUGAGGUUGCACAUCUUGAAAGUGGAAGCUGGGUUUGCAAACAUGUCCUCUGACCCUAGAGGUUCCCCCCACCUGUAUUUAAUGACCACAUUCUAUUACUAAAGGCCCCACACUGAAGAUACUGAAGAGUGUAAAACAGAUGUCUGCCUGAUAUUAAGAUGGUCAACUGUCCCGGUUAGUGUGGGGCGGUCCCAGUAUCAGCGUUGAAGUCAUAGCCUAGGGCAUCCCUCAGCAUCAGACAAACCGAGACAGUUGGUUGUCAAUACUGCUAAUGCAGAUCUGUUUCUCCUUUGGGCAUGGAGAGGCUUAUCACAACUGUGCCCAAGGGAUUGAUGCCUCCUUGAUAUGUUAGUUCUAUUAAGCAGUACUGAAGGGGCCAAUGGUGUGGACUCCCCAAGAUGCUUCAGAGUGAACUUUUCAGCCCUUCUAGGUGCCCAUGAGGACGUAAACAGAACAAGGGAACGUGGCUCCAGGGCUGAGAAAUCCGAGCACAGAGAGGAGUCAGGGGAGUGUUUUCUAUGCACUCCUAAUUUCCCUCUCUCCCUCUUUUAGGGCCUGUUACCCACUUCUUUGUCUAUUUGAAUCUUUCUUUUAGGCAGAGAUUUCACUGCUUAAUAGUUGACUCUCCAAUGAGAUAGGUGCAUCCUGCUAUAGUCUUCUUACCAUGUACAGAUACAAGUUCAUUAAAGGAAACUGACUUUGAUUAAUUUUCUUCAAGAAUGUCCUUUAGUGCAGAAAAGAAUCAAAUACUUCUCUUCUUGUCUAGCAGCUAUUCUGGCUGCCACGUGUCAUGGGCGCAGGUUUAGACUGAUGGAAGCCUUGGAUUUUACAUCUGUUUUGCAUCUGUUCUUCUCUUUCCUGUCAUCAUCACAUGCAUUCUAAUUGCGCCUUAUUUAUAGUUCGAGGUGCUCCCUAUUAGACUAUAAACUCCUCGAGGGUAGAGACCACGUUGGUUUUAUUUUUCACUAUUUUUUAAUUACACAUUCAGCACGUGGUAUGGCAUAUGGUAUUCACUCAGUGAAUAUUUCUUGAAUGAGUGAAUGAAUUCCGUAUCGGAGCAACAAUAACAUUCAAUUCAAGUUCAACUUUUCAGGCUUCACCUUGCAAAAAAGUAAGACAGGAAGAAUUGACAAAGUUUUGUGUGUGAUCCUAGGUUGGGAUCUACAGACUCGUCCACUGUGUACAAAACAGCUAACAUUUAUCCAGUGUAUGUUAUGCACUGAGCAUGUGUAUGUAGUAACAUAUACACACGCUCAUCUAGUUCUUACUUGAUUUCAUGAAAGAUAAAACAAAUUCAAAAAGCGAUUAAAUAACUUGGCAAAUAUUAAGUAAUAAGUGAUCUAAACUUAUCACUAACCAGAACUUCACUUAGGAAACCUGACUCUGGUUUUUAACCACUGUGGAGAGCUGUCCUUUCUACAUACCUUGCGCUCUCCCUCCCUCUCGCUCUCUCUCUCCCUCUAACCCCUUUGCCCCCUUCUUCCUCUCUCUCAUACCUUGUGGUUGACAUUCUGAGUGUUGCCCAGCAAUUUGACCCUGGGUCAUGCACCAUAUUCCUUAGAAAGCCAUUGAUCAAAAUUCAGGGGUCAGAAGAUAGCCUCUUUCAUCCCCAAAGGGGCUCUUUACAUAUGCUUUUAUUAUCUAAUUUGUUAUUCUCUCAUUAAAGGGAAGUAUAUUUUCGGCCCAAAUAAAAUUUACCUUGGCACUUGUAUAUUCCACAUCAGUCUCUUAGGAAAUAAAUGUUGUGCUACCAUGGAAAGCAUUCCAAAGGCAUAGAUUUGUUGACAGUUGCAGAACUAUGGAAUUUGGAACCCUUCAAAAAUGGGAAGGAAAAUAAGGCUGCUUAGAUGGGAUUAUUGUCAAGGACCAUGUGAUUAGGACUUCAAAUUCAAACUACAUUAAAUCUAAAUACAGAAUUGUGAUGGAGAGAUCAAAGGAUGUAUUAGUUGAAAGAGUGCUCAGGUGGCCACUCUUGCGUAAGUCUUUUCUAGCUUCACUGAGCCAAUGUCCCACUUUUCUGUGGAGCUGAUGAUGUGUCCUGGCCUUGGAGUUACAGGUUCCCCUAGUGACCCUGUGCCUGAUGCUGCCCCAAGUUCCUGACCCAUAGAGCAUAUCUCGAACUUGUCUCUUCCAGCCAUCAUAAAAAGCCCAAGUAACACAGCUAUGCACUAAGUGAUGGACAUAUACUAUAAACAAAUUAUAGUUUUGAAGGCCAUGGCAGGACUUCUAGAGAUGGAAUGAGGGGCAAUUCCCUGUGAUGAGUUUUACACAAUAGCUGACAGUUUCAUAGAUUCUUUGCACCUUGGGGAUACUGUAGUUUUGGGGGAAAAUAACUGUGAGGAAAUAAGAGCAACUGUACCACAUACUAAAUUUUGGCUCUGAUGCUGUAAUAACAACAAAAGUCAGCAAAGAGUGGGCAAGGCAAAAUCCUCUAUAGGAAACACUGAAAGUUUAAUUACUGGUAUUUACUUGUACUUUUCUGAAUAUUACCCAUUUUCGUAAUUAGGUGAAAGUACUCGGUGAUGCUUUGCUUUCCACAGAUGAAAUAUUUCUUAAAAUGGUGGAAUGAAGAAUCCAUGAAAAUCAGUCAACCCCAAAACUUCCCCAAAUCUUCAAAAAUCUGUUCAACCUCAUCCAGCACUAAUUGCUGUAAACUUACAGUUAAGGGAAGCAACAUUUAAACACACUGAUAAUUUAGUGAACCGACUCUUUGUUUAAUUGAUUUUUCAGCAAAAUGCUUUUUUCAACAUGAGCCCCGUUCCCUAAAGGCCUCCUUUUCCCAGCUGCCAUCUGAAGCAUAUCCUGUAUCACAAAUGGAUAUCCAGUGGGAACUCCUGAAAUUGUCUGGGAUUGCCAACCCCAGGAGAGGUGGAGAUGGCUCCCCUCUUAGCCAUGCUGACAAUCAUCCUCUCCUGAUGUGCCCUAUUAAGGAGGGAUGUGAGCUUUCUUUUCCCUAAGGUUUCCAGCAACUUUUUGCUCUUUCCUUGCCUGUUCUUAGAACCUUGGAUGCCUUUUCUUUUCCCCAAACCUGGCCUCAUUUGUUAUAUUCUCUCACAGUCUAGUUCUCAAUUAAUUUCUCCACACUGUCUCCCUCUCCUCAGCCUGUAACCAUGCACACCACACAUGCAUUCCUUGGCACUCAGUUCCCCCAGCUACCCUUCCCACUACUUGCUGUUGUCUCAUCUUCACUAUUCUACUUCUUAUUAAAUUCCAAACCAAUAAUAUUGGGCUUUCAAGUAUUAUUUCAGUUCCCACUGAAAAUGUUCUCAAAACUUUCAGUGAUUUCUGGAGUUCCCAUUGUGGCUAAGCAGAUUAAGAACCCAACAUAAUGUCUGUGAUGAUGAGCGGUUCAAUCCCUGGCCUCACUCAGUGGGUUAAGGAUCCAGUGUUGCCACAAGCUGCUCUGUAGGUUGAAGACGUGGCUAGGGUCCAGCGUUGCGGUGGCAUAGGCCUCAGCUGCAGCUCUUGAUUCCACCCCUAGCCUGGAAACUUCCAUCUGCUGCAGAUGCGGCCAUAAAAAGAAAAAGAUUAUCAAUGGUUUCUUAAUUUCUAAAUUUGUGACCUUUUAUUGGUCAGUGUCCCUAAAAGCUUCUACCAACACCAUUCUCUCAUAGUUCUUUUACUUCUGUUUGGCUCUCUCUUUUUAGUCUCUUUUGCUGGAUGUUCCUCCACAAUUUUCUUCAAGUAGAGUUCUACACAAGUGUUAAUGGAAUUAUUGUUAUCAGCUGAUCAAUGCUUUCAUUCAGAAAAGGGAUAGGAGGUUUGCUUUUUAUAUCAAGACUGAUCCACACAUAGGUCAAGUGGAAGGAAAAAGUCCCUUUGAAUUCUACUUUGAACCCUUUUCCUGGCUCCUAGCUACUCUAGUGGCAGUGGAAAAGUAAGCAGAAGUGAUGUGAUGUUGCAAUAGCAUCAGAGACACUUUGUAUCUUGAGAUCACAAAAAAGUCAUGGGAUUCUAAGCCUGAUCCUGGAGAAUAAAUCUAGUGCAAGGUGGUCAGUGAACAUGGGGAUAUGAGAGGGCAGUAGUCAGAUUCCUGGAUUUUGGAGUGCUAUGGGAUGAAUUGCACCCCACCCCCAAAUUCAUAUGUUGAUGUCCUGACCCCAUUUCCUCAGAAUGUCACUAUAUUUGGAGAUAGUUUUUAAAGAGGGGAUUGUGCUGUAUGAAAGGGAUCUGUGUGGGGUAAAAAAAAAAAAAACAAAAAAAAACAAAAAACUUUCUCAUGAAUAUUUCCCCCCCAGUCAGGAAUUUGGAAUUUUCUACUAUUUCCAGAAGAAGAGGGAAGUAAUCCCCCUCAAUAUGCUAUUUGCUUCCUUAGUUGGAGCCACUCAUUCUGUAUUACCUUCACCUAAAGAGAAUUCUUUGUGACAGUGAUCCAGCAAACUUCAACAUUUGUCUCAGCAAAGAGCUAAAAAGCAAGACAGAACAAAACGGGAAAAAACCCUGAUGUUUAAAGAGCUCACAUCCCUUAUUCCAGAAAAAAAAAAACAAAAAAACAAAACGCAAUUCAGACAAGUUUCCUGCAUCAAGAUUUGUGCUAUCUUUAACAGAAUAUAUACCAAAAUUGGAAUAGGGUUUUAAAUUGGUUUCCUGACAAAGGCUAUAAAUUUUCCUAGGUGACUCAAAUUAUUCAUGAGAAAGGGGAGAUCUUGAUUUAUGCACUAGUUUUGUGUAAAUUUCAUUUUUGUAAAGUAAAUCACUUUUUCCAUUGACUCACAUUACAAUUUGAGAUAUGCUUUAUCUUCUUUUCUGAGUAAUCUUCAAUUGACAGAGGCUCUUUGCUCAUUCAUGCAAGCUUUUAAUGACCUAAAUGCACACACUUAAAUGAAGCAUAGCCAUUUAUAGAAGCUGCAAGGGAACUUUGUAUUCAUCCAACACACACAACACAUACUGACCAAAGGCCAGCUGUAUCACAGGGAUUGUGACUUCAAAGACAUGAACUCCCUGGCUUCAAGACGCUUACCAUCUUGGGUAGAUUGAAAAAUUGCUUUGAGAAGCAAAUAAUCUGCCUCCACAAUUUGAAUGCCCUGUGAUAUUCAUAUAAUGGUUCUUAAAAUUGCAUUGUAUCACACUGUAAAGAAUUUUGUCAUUUGUUCAUAUCUGAUCUAGUGCAUAUCAGUAAAGUCGAUGUUAUGUGUGUCACUGACAUUCCCAUGACCAUUUUAUUGCUUUGGGAGGUCAGGGAUCCUU
rnacentral:lncRNA from 1 species